rnacentral:rRNA from 1 species
AAGGCACUUACCCCAGUGGGCCUAAAAGCAGCCACCUGUAAAGAAAGCGUUAUAGCUCAAGCAAAGCACAACCAACAAUAAAAAUAAUUCCAUCCAAACUCCCUUCGAGUACUGAGCCCCCCUACGAAAACAUAGGGAAGAUAAUGCUAAAAUUAGUAAUAAGAGGGGAACGCCCCUCUCCUCGCACAGUCGUGAGUCAGACAGGACAUACCACUGACAACUAACGGACCCAAAAUGAGGGUAUAGCAAAGCAAUAAAAUGCGAGCAAGAGAAUCCUGCCUCAAUUACCGUCAACCCGACACAGGUGUACACCAAGGAAAGACUAAAAGAGGGAGAAGGAACUCGGCAAACAAAAACCCCGCCUGUUUACCAAAAACAUCGCCUCUUGCUAACAAUGAAGUAUUAGAGGUCCCGCCUGCCCUGUGACAGCAGUGUUUAACGGCCGCGGUAUUUUAACCGCGCGAAGGUAGCGUAAUCACUUGUCUUUUAAAUGGAGACCUGUAUGAAUGGCAUAACGAGGGUUUAACUGUCUCCUUCCUCUAGUCAAUGAAAUUGAUCUGCCCGUGCAGAAGCGGGCAUAACUACAUAAGACGAGAAGACCCUAUGGAGCUUUAGGCAAAUGAUCAAAUAAAUCAAACUCCUGUGCUUAAACAACCUUGAGGAACAAACACCCCUGAUCAAUAUGCCUUCGGUUGGGGCGACCGUGGAGGAAAAAAGAGCCUCCAAGUGGAAUGGAAAAACCUUUCAGCCAAGAAAAACAACUCUAAGCGCCAGAAAAUCUGACCAACAAUGACCCAGGAU